UACAGAGGGUGCAAGCGUUGUUCGGAAUUACUGGGCGUAAAGGGCGUGUAGGCGGUUGAACAAGUCAGAUGUGAAAUCCCGGGGCUUAACUCCGGAAGUGCAUUUGAAACUGCUCGGCUAGAGUGUUGUAGAGGAUGGCGGAAUACCCAGUGGAGAGGUGAAAUUCGUAGAUAUUGGGUGGAACACCGGUGGCGAAGGCGGCCAUCUGGGCAACAACUGACGCUGAGGCGCGAGAGCGUGGGGAGCAAACAGGAUUAGAUACCCCCGUAGUCC
rnacentral:rRNA from 1 species